AUUGAACGCUGGCGACAUGCCUUACACAUGCAAGUCGAACGGCAGCACGGGUGUUUGCAUCUGGUGGCGAGUGGCGAACGGGUGUGUAAUACAUCGGCACAUGUCCUGUAGUGGGGGAGAGCCGGGCGAAAGCCGGUUAAAUCCCGCAUACGCUCUACGGAUAAACGGGGGGGCCAAACGGGCCUCGCGCUAUAGGGUUGGCCGAUGGCUGAUUAGCUAGUUGGUGGGGUAAAGGCCUACCAAGGCGACGAUCAGUAGCUGGUCUGAGAGGACGACCAGACACACUGGGACUGAGACACGGCCCAGACUCCUACGGGAGGCAGCAGUGGGGAAUUUUGGACAAUGGGCGAAAGCCUGAUCCAGCAAUGCCGCGUGUGUGAAGAAGGCCUUCGGGUUGUAAAGCACUUUUGUCCGGAAAGAAAUCCUUGGCCCUAAUACGGUCGGGGGAUGACGGUACCGGAAGAAUAAGCACCGGCUAACUACGUG
rnacentral:rRNA from 1 species